AACAGGAUGUAACUGGAACCAAGGGGCUUUUGAGAACAUCAAGGAGGGUACAGCCCUUAUCCACUGGGACUUCAGGAAGGACAAAACAGGAAACAGAGCAAAUAAGUGAAUGUUUUCUCCGCUUACGGGAACAGAAAUGACAGAUUUGCUUUCCACUUGUCUGCUAAGUGUAACAAUCAAAUAAGUGCUUACAC